rnacentral:rRNA from 1 species
GAGUUUGAUCCUGGUUCAGGGUGAACGCUGGCGGCGCGCCUAAUGCAUGCAAGUCGAGCGAGCUUUGUUGGUUUCGGCCUUCAAGGAAAGCGGCGGACGGCUGAGUAACACGUGAGUAACCUGCCCUUCGGUGGGGUAAAACCCCGAGAAAUCGAGGCUAAUACCGCAUACGGUCCCCUGGCCCUGGUUGGGGAAAGAAAGUUUUCGGAUGCCGGGGGAGGGGCUCACGACCUAUCAGGUAGUUGGUGGGGUAAUGGCCUACCAAGCCGAUGACGGGUAGCUGGUCUGAGAGGAUGAUCAGCCAGAGGGGGACUGAGACACGGCCCCCACUCCUACGGGAGGCAGCAGCAGGGAAUCUUGGGCAAUGGGCGAAAGCCUGACCCAGCGACGUCGCGUGGGGGAUGAAGGCCUUAGGGCUGUAAACCCCUUUUCCCGGGGAAGAGAAAGGACGGUACCCGGGGAAUAAGCUCCGGCUAACUACGUGCCAGCAGCCGCGGUAACACGUAGGAACCGAGCGUUGUCCGGAUUUACUGGGCGUAAAGUGCGCGUAGGCGGUCCGUUAAGUCUCAUGUGAAAUCUCCCGGCUCAACUGGGAGGGGUCAUGGGAAACUGGCAGACUUGAGUGCAGCAGAGGGGAGCAGAAUUCCCGGAGUAGUGGUGGAAUGCGUAGAUACCGGGAGGAAUACCAGAGGCGAAGGCGGCUCCCUGGGCUGUGUCUGACGCUGAGGCGCGAAAGCGUGGGUAGCAAACCGGAUUAGAUACCCUGGUAGUC